rnacentral:piRNA from 1 species
GACGACGGUAGCCCGAAGAGGCGCCAAG